CACUGCGCCAGCAGCGCCGUACCUUAAUUGUGGGGCGGUGCCAGACGCGCCUUUAUAAUCAGGUGAGUGGUCACACCUGACCCUCUCCUUCCAGUCCUUUGAGCCAGCGUGGCGGUGACUGCAGCUCGGCGUGGCGGAGCCCUUUGUUUGCGGUGGGCAUCGCAAACAUUCAACCCUCAGUGACUACAGACGGUGUAGGGGGAACAGAUCACCCCGCCGGAGGUUUGGUGGGAAGUAACGUGGUCUGCCUGUGUGGGCUGCAGGUAACUGCGGUUCUCCUCCUCCUGUUCUCUGUGACGCUGCGCCAGUGGUUGCAGUAAGUGGUGGCCUGUCAUCAGCCACCACACUCAUUGACUGUUGCUGUUUUGGCUUGGUGGUUUGGUUUUGCUGUCCCGUCUUUUUUUGCCUUGCUGUUCUGGUUUGGCUGUUGUGCUACAGUGGACCCUGGAUAUCGUCUCUGUCCGGUGCCGCAUUGGCCAAGUCGGGUUCGGCCCGAGUGUUUCGCCCCCGGACCUUGGCUCGUCUCCCCUCCCCUUCUCCGGACGGUCCGGCUCCUGCUCGUCUUUCCGGACCUGAUCCUCUACCUGUGGCGGG